UGAGAGAAGUAUACUAGUGUCUCUUUCAACUUUCCAGUUGAAAGAUCCGUGUACAGGAGACUGUAACAACCUUCCAUGCCGAGCAGAAUCAAAUGUCAUAAGCUGAGUGAGGUCGAGUUCAUGGCUCGGCGGAAUCAUCCUCUUCAGCGGAAGAACCGUCGCCUCGUAGCCGCAUACCAUGACAAAGAUGGCAGCGAUGAUCAACCUGAAAAAC
rnacentral:sRNA from 1 species